AAAAAAGAAUCGUAAGAUUCUAUUUUUUAAGAGCUUUACUACUACUUUUUUGUAGGAGUAGAGCUUUUUCCACACUCUGUAAUAUUAAAUCGUCUUUUGACGAAAAUCUAUAAAUAAUAAUAAACA
rnacentral:misc_RNA from 1 species